rnacentral:rRNA from 1 species
CAACAAGCUCAAAUUUGAAAUCUGGCGCCUCUUGCGGGGGGUCCGAGUUGUAAUCUGCAGAUGAGUCUUCCGGCGACGCGAGCGCCCAAGUUCCCUGGAAUGGGACGCCAUAGAGGGUGAGAGCCCCGUACUGGCGUGCGCCGAGCCUCUGUGAAGCUCAUUCGACGAGUCGAGUAGUUUGGAAAUGCUGCUCUAAUCGUGGGGUAAAUCUCCCAUAAGGCUAAAUACCGGCCAGAGACCGAUAGCGCACAAGUAGCGUGAGCGAAAGAUGAAAAGAGCCUUGAACAAGGGCGUUAAAAAGUAUGUGAAAUUGUUGUGGGGGAAGCGCUUGUCGCCAGACGUGGCGGCGGCGGGUUACCCGGCUUCUGGCCGGCGCACUCCGCCCGCCGCCAGGCCAGCAACGACUCCGGCUCGGGACCCAGUGCCGGCGGGAACGUAGCUCCUUCGGGGAGUGUUACAGCCCACCGGUGGCGUCCUGGCCUGGGUCGAGGUUAGCGCAUCUGCCCGGAUGCUGGCUUAAUGGCGCCAAACGACCCGUCUUGAAACACGGACCAAGGAGUUGACCUAGCGCGCGAGUGUACGGGUGUCAAGCCCCUACGCGCAGUGAAAGCAAACGGUGGUGGGAGCUCUCGGCGCACCAUCGACCGAUCCUGAAGUUCACGGAUGGAUUUGAGUAGGAGCGUGCUGGGUCUGACCCGAAAGAAGGUGAACUAUGCAUGGAUAGGGUGAAGCCAGAGGAAACUCUGGUGGAGGCUCGCAGCGGUUCUGACGUGCAAAUCGAUCGUCAAAUUUGUGCAUGGGGGCGAAAGACCAAUCGAACCUUCUAGUAGCUGGUUCCUGCCGAAGUUUCCCUCAGGAUAGCAGAGUUGGUGCCUCAGUUUCAGAGGUAAAGCGAAUGAUUAGGGACUCGGGGGCUCUAUUUUGCCUUCAUCCAUUUUCAAACUUUAAAUAUGUAAGAAGCCUUUGUUGCUUUAGUGAACGAAGGCAUUAGAAUGUACAGCACUAGUGGGCCAUUUUUGGUAAGCAGAACUGGCGAUGCGGGAUGAACCGAUCGCGAGGUUAAGGUGCCGGAGUAAUCGCUCAUCAGACACCACAAAAGGUGUUAUCACAUCUUGACAGCAGGACGGUGGCCAUGGAAGUCGGAAUCCGCUAAGGACUGUGUAACAACUCACCUGCCGAAUGUGAUAGCCCUGAAAAUGGAUGGCGCUCAAGCGAUUCACCCAUACCUCGCCCUCAGGGUAGACACUAUGCCCUGAGGAGUAGGUGG